UACGUAGGCAGCGAGCGUUGGUCGGAAUUACUGGGCGUAAAGAGUGUGUAGGCGGUGCUCCAAGUCUGGUGUGAAAUCUCCCGGCUUAACUGGGAGGGUGCGCCGGAAACCGGAGUGCUAGAGGAUGGGAGAGGUAAGCGGAAUUCCUGGUGUAGCGGUGAAAUGCGUAGAUAUCAGGAGGAACACCUGUGGUGUAGACAGCUUACUGGACCAUUUCUGACGCUGAGACACGAAAGCGUGGGUAG
rnacentral:rRNA from 1 species